AAGAAGUUAGUCUAAUAAAGACAAUUAAUUUCGACUUAAUAAAUUGUGGCUGCCAUCACAACUUCUUU
rnacentral:tRNA from 1 species